CUGAACCUGGUGUCUCUCCGCGCCCGGAGAGCCACGCGGACACACAGGUCGUCCACCGGCUCCGAACCCGCCCCGGGGUGGGACGGAUUUUAAUCAGUAACGCACACACACACACACACACACAGGGACAGACACACCGACACACACACACACACAUAGAGACACAGACACACACACACAAACACACAUACAGUACACUAAUGACUAGUCCAUGAGCCCAAGAUCCUAGGUUCCCUUUUUUAUUAACUUUUGGCAAAGUCUUGUCCCUUUCCGAUGCGUUUGACGUUCGCAGAACAACAUCAUUGCAGUAUUUUGUAAACAAUAGAGCAAACGUUCUGGGCACAGCAUUUAAGGAAAACACGUUAAUAUAUUCAGCUGAAACCCGUAUUGAACACUAUGUUGCUCUUCAGGGUUUCGUGUAUAGAAACGAAAAUCCAGAAACAAAUCUACAGUCAGCAUAUCGUAUUGCCAAACCAUUGAUAAGCAGCUUGUUAGGACGUAGGGACGACAUGAGUCCUUUCUGGGUGUUUGAAUAAUUCACUUUUCUUGAGAGACGUUCGCAAUAAAUUGGGAACCGUGUUCAAAGUGAAAACCAAAUCCAUGUUAUGUUAUGUCUUCACCCUCUAUGGGGGCUCCUAACAAUGCGAGGUUCUGCGCCUGAAGCACAAAGAGCUCCCAGCGAGUUGCCGUGUUCCCAGCUGUGCAGCCCACUGCACGGUAUCUGCCUGCUAUAGCUGCUGGUGUAGGAGGCUGAAGAUAUCUCGGGGCACUGCACAGCGGUAAAGUGUAUGCUGAUGUAGCUCUAGCUGCUUCUUUAGAGAAGCGUUGUGCGGCCCACGCAAAGCCAAUAGAAAAUGAGAUGAGUUGUGCUAAGUGACUACGUAAAUUAGAUUAAAUACCCAACUGUAUCUUGCAGUUUCGGCGCACCCUCUUCCCUGUGUGUUACUGUUCCAUGUGCCAGAGUCCUUUGUCUAGUAGGAAUUCUUGGUGUCUUAAGAGAGAAAUAGGAGAGAGAUGUUUAUAAUGCAGACGGUAUAAUAAUGUGUUGUCGUCAUUGUUGUUGUUGUUGUUGUUGUGAUUGUGAUUGGCAUGGGCACAGGCAUGAACGGCAGUGAUUUAAAAGAGGAGUAGGGAAGGCUGAGGAGGAGAGAUGAACGCUGGAAGAUAUAAACGCCAGAGAGCGUAAUCCCGUCCAAGCCCUGGCCAUAUGGGGGCGACGGGUGGAUUAUCAUCCGCCCGGUCGCCCCCGUAUGUGGGGCGAUGAUGAGGACCACACUGUUCUGACCACCGCCGGGAUUAGGCUCUCGGACUCGUGGGCACCUAAUCUGAGAGCCACACAUCUGCCACCACCCUGCCGCGUCUCUUAUCUUUAAUUAUGUCUCUCCUCAGUUCUCCUAUCUCACGCUACCAAACACUCUCUCUCACCCACACACACACACGCACGCACGCAUACAGCUCUGCUUGCACACACAGCAGAUUCACUUUGUGUAACAGAUCAAAUCCAAUAUGUAUAUAUGUAUAUAUAGCACAUUCAACUGUAUAACAUCAAGAUCACCUUCAAUACAACCCUCUCAUUAAACCCGACAAGUCACCUUUUGAUCUUAUAGCUGUUU
ensembl:lncRNA